CGAUCCGCUCCGACGGGGGCAGUAAAUGGGAGAAAAUAAACGGAUUCGGGCUGGAAAACGGAGUAAAAUUUAUGAUCCGAGGCGGAUUCGGGACAGAAAACGGGAGAAAUUUUGACCCGCCCCCAAUUCGCCCCAUCAUGAUCCUCCCAAAUUCGCUCUGAAAGUCAUUUAUAUUUUAAAAAAAUAUUUCUAAAAAAUAAUAUAUUUACAAAAAAAUUCAAAAUAUAAAUAAGUUAGUACUCGUAUUUCUAAUGUAUUUGCAAUUUNAAAAAAGUUCAAAAUACAAAUAAGUUAGUACUCUCAUUUCUAAUGUAUUUGAAACUUUUGAAUUUUAUUUUGAAUUGUGAUUGAUAUUUUUAAUUUUUAUAAUUGAUAUUGUUAAAUUAUAUAUAUAAUAUUAUUAAAAAUUAUUAUUUUAUAUUUUACAAAAUAUUAAUAAUAUUAUAAUUUUAUAAAAAAUAUUAGUUGGCGGGGCGGAUUCGGGACACCGGCAGGAGGCAAGUUACAAGACGGGACGGAUUACGGGAUGUAUUUUUUAACCCGUCACGAAUUCGGGACGGGAGAUGGGGUGGAAUUUUGCUAGA
rnacentral:lncRNA from 1 species